CCUACGGGUGGCAGCAGUAGGGAAUAUUGCUCAAUGGGGGAAAGCCUGAAGCAGCAACGCCGCGUGGAGGAUGAAGGUCUUCGGAUUGUAAACCUCUUUUGAUAGAGAAGAUAAUGACGGUAUCUAACCAAUAAUGAAUGGAUAAUAUCGUGCAAGCAGGCGCGGUAAUACGCAGGCUGCAAGCGUUAUCCGGAAUAACUGGGCGUAAGGCGAGCGUAGGCGGGAUAGCAAGUCAGAUGUGAAAUCCUAUGGUCCAAUCGUAGAACUGCAAUUGAAACUGUUAUUUUGGAGUAUGGGAGAGGUAGGUGGAAUUCGUGGUGUAGGGGUAAAAUCCGUAGAUAUCAAGAGGAAUACUCAUUGCGAAGGCGACCUGCUAGAACAUAACUGACGCUGAUGCGCGAAAGCGUGGGGAGCAAACAGGAUUAGAUACCCGGGUAGUC
rnacentral:rRNA from 1 species